UACGGAGGGGGCGAGUGUUGUUCGGAAUUACUGGGCGUAAAGCGCGUGUAGGCGGCCCAUUAAGUCUGAUGUGAAAGCCCGGGGCUCACCCCCGGAAGUGCAUUGGAAACUGAUGGGCUCGAGUCCCGGAGAGGAGGGUGGAAUUCCUGGUGUAGCGGUGAAAUGCGUAGAUAUCAGGAGGAACACCGGUGGCGAAGGCGGCCCUCUGGACGGUGACUGACGCUGAGACGCGAAAGCGUGGGGAGCAAACAGG
rnacentral:rRNA from 1 species